CUGGGCUGGAAGUGUCCUAAACUGACCAGUAGUUGUGCCAUAUAAAGGGAUAAGAGGUCAGUGGGAGUGGAUGAUGGAUGGCAUAAACCUGGCCAUUGCAAUAUGAGCAUGCUGGCUGUAUUGACACGAGGCUGACCCAGACAGACUUUGACCUUAGUUUGAUCUCCCACCAUUCAAGAAAAGCUUCCUUCAGCUUCAAAUGGCCUUACUUGGAGCUCAGCUGUACAGAAAGGGUCCACACAGGUGAACUGAUACCAUGGAGACUCCCAAGACCAUGGCCUGGGUGCUCAAUCCUCACGGACACCCAUGGAGCCCUCCAGAGCCACCUGAUCCUCCCUCCUCAGAAGAUCUGCAUUCCCUGGGGUUCAGGUAAAACCUCAUUAACGUAACUGCAACAAUGAAGACAUUACCUAGACGUGCUGGCUUCCUCUUUGCCUUCCUCCAUGAUGUAAGUUUCCUGAGGACUCCCCAGCCAUGCUUCCUGUACAGCCUGUGGAACUGUGAACCAAUUAAACCUUUUUUCUUUAUAAAU
rnacentral:lncRNA from 1 species